AUUGAACGCUGGCGGCAGGCCUAACACAUGCAAGUCGAACGAGUGGCGGACGGGUGAGUAAUGUCUGGGCAACUGCCUGAUGGAGGGGGAUACCUACUGGAAACGGUAGCUAAUACCGCAUCCCAUCAGAUGUGCCCAGAUGGGAUUAGCUUGUUGGUGGGAGAACGGCCCACACAGGCGACGAUCCCUAGCUGGUCUGAGAGGAUGACCAGCCACACGUGAACUGAGACACGGUCCAGACUCCUACGGGAGGGAGCAUUGGGGAAUAUUGCACAAUGGGCGCAAGCCUGAUGCAGCAAUGCCGCGUGUAUGAAGAAGGCCUUCGGGUUGUAAAGUACUUUCAGCGGGGAGGCGUUACCCGCAGAAGAAGCACCGGCUAACUCCGUGCCAGCAGCCGCGGUAAUAC
rnacentral:rRNA from 1 species